ensembl:rRNA 5S_rRNA 5S ribosomal RNA
AUCUACGGCCAUACCAUCCUGAAUGUGCCCGAUCUCAUCUGAUCUCGGAAACUAAGCAGGGUCAGGCCUGGUUAGUACUUGGAUGGGAGAAGCUGAGUAGCUGGGACU